UAUUUCUAGUCAUUGUUUCAUUAUCUUUAUUGUGAAUAUUGCCACUGUUCAUCACACCCCCAACUGGCACCGUAAGACACCGCCUAGCAGGAGCCUCGGUCUGUCCCACGUUUCUUCCUAAAAGGGAGUUUUUCCUCACCAUUGUUACACUAAAUUCUUGCUCUUGGGCGAAUUACUAGAAUUGUUGGGUCUUGGUAAAUUAUAGAAUGUGCUCUAGACCUACUCUAUCUGUAAAUUCCCUUGAGAGAACUCUUGUUAUAAUUUGAAGCUAUAAAUACAAUUGAAUUGAAUUGAAU